rnacentral:tRNA from 1 species
GGGGCUGUGGCUCACUGGCAGAGCAUGUGUUCAGCAUGCAGAGGGUCUCAGGUUCAAUCCUUGGUAUUUCCA